rnacentral:rRNA from 1 species
UGCGUAGGUGGUUACCUAAGCGCAAGGUUUAAAUUAGAGGCUCAACCUCUACAUGCCUUGCGAACUGGGCUACUUGAGUGCAGGAGGGGAAAGCGGAAUUCCUAGUGUAGCGGUGAAAUGCGUAGAUAUUAGGAGGAACACCGGCGGCGAAGGCGGCUUUCUGGACUGUAACUGACACUGAGGCACGAAAGCGUGGGUAGCAAACA